AGUCUGUGGCCUAAUGGAUGAGGCGUUGGUCUACGGAACCAAAGAUUAUGGGUUCGAGUCCCAUCGAGAUCG
rnacentral:tRNA from 1 species